rnacentral:rRNA from 1 species
GACGAACGCUGGCGGCGUGCUUAACACAUGCAAGUCGAACGGUGAACGAGGGAUCUUGCUCCGGCCGGAGCAGUGGCGAACGGGGGAGGAGCACGUGAGCAAUCUGCCCCGAACUCUGGGAUAGGCGUUGGAAACGACGUCUAAGACCGGAUACGACGCGGGAGUGCAUCCUCUCCGCGGGGAAAGAACUUCGUUUCGGGAUGAGCUCGCGUCCUAUCAGCUUGUUUGUGAGGUGACGGCUCACCAAGGCGACGACGGGUAGCCGGCCGUAGCGUGUGACCGGCGACACUGGGAAUGAGACAAGGCCAAGACUCAUACGGGAGGCAGGAGUGGGGAGUAUUGGACAAUGGGAGCAAGGCUGCUGCAGCAACGACGCGCGAGGGACGACGGACUUCGGUUUGUCACCCGCUAGUAGCAGGGAAGAAGCGAAAGUGACGGUAGCUGUAGAAAAAGCACCGGCUAACUACGUG